rnacentral:rRNA from 1 species
GGGAACGCAUUCACCGCGACAUGCUGAUUCGCGAUUACUAGCGAUUCCGACUUCAUGAAGUCGAGUUGCAGACUUCAAUCCGAACUGAGAAUGGCUUUUUGAGAUUCGCUCCACCUCACGGUCUCGCUGCUCUCUGUACCACCCAUUGUAGCACGUGUGUAGCCCAGAUCAUAAAGGGCAUGAUGAUUUGACGUCGUCCCACCUUCCUCCUGCUUGUCACAGGCAGUCCCAUUAGAGUGCUCAGCUUAAUGUUAGCAACUAAUAGCAGGGGUUGCGCUCGUUGCGGGACUUAACCCAAACAUCUCACGACACGAGCUGACGACAACCAUGCACCACCUGUCUUGGCGCUCCUAAAAGGCACUCCCGUAUUUCUACAGGAUUCGCCAGAUGUCAAGACCUG